rnacentral:rRNA from 1 species
GGUCACCGCAAGGGAAGCUGGCGACCGAAGCCCCGAUAAACGGCGGCCGUAACUAUGACGGUCCUAAGGUAGCGAAAUUCCUUGUCGGGUAAGUUCCGACCCGCACGAAAGGCGUAAUGAUUUGGAUACUGUCUCGGAGAGGGGCUCGGUGAAAUAGACUUGUCUGUGAAGAUGCGGACUACCUGCACCUGGACAGAAAGACCCUAUGAAGCUUUACUGUAACUUGAAAUUGAAACUGGACUUUGUUUGCGCAGUAUAGGUGGGAGGCUUUGAUGAUUUUCUUGCGGGAAAGUCGGAGCCAUCAGUGAGAUACCACUCCUAUAAUGUUAGGUUUCUAACUUUGAAUCAUUAUCUGGUCAGAGGACAGUUUCAGGCGGGCAGUUUGACUGGGGCGGUCGCCUCCCAAAUGGUAACGGAGGCGUACAAAGGUUUCCUCUGAACGGGUAGAAAUCGUAUCUAGAGUAUAAAGGCAAAAGGAAGCUUGACUGUGAGACCUACAAGUCGAGCAGGGACGAAAGUCGGUCUUAGUGAUCUGACGGUGCUGAGUGGAAAGGCCGUCACUCAACGGAUAAAAGUUACUCUAGGGAUAACAGGCUGAUCUCCCCCAAGAGUUCACAUC